UGCAGUCGACGGUGAACACGGAGCUUGCUCUGUGGGAUCAGUGGCGAACGGGUGAGUAACACGUGAGCAACCUGCCCCUGACUCUGGGAUAAGCGCUGGAAACGGCGUCUAAUACUGGAUAUGUGACGUGAUCGCAUGGUCUGCGUCUGGAAAGAUUUUUCGGUUGGGGAUGGGCUCGCGGCCUAUCAGCUUGUUGGUGAGGUAAUGGCUCACCAAGGCGUCGACGGGUAGCCGGCCUGAGAGGGUGACCGGCCACACUGGGACUGAGACACGGCCCAGACUCCUACGGGAGGCAGCAGUGGGGAAUAUUGCACAAUGGGCGCAAGCCUGAUGCAGCAACGCCGCGUGAGGGAUGACGGCCUUCGGGUUGUAAACCUCUUUUAGCAGGGAAGAAGCGAAAGUGACGGUACCUGCAGAAAAAGCGCCGGCUAACUACGUGCCAGCAGCCGCGGUAAUACGUAGGGCGCAAGCGUUAUCCGGAAUUAUUGGGCGUAAAGAGCUCGUAGGCGGUUUGUCGCGUCUGCUGUGAAAUCCCGAGGCUCAACCUCGGGCCUGCAGUGGGUACGGGCAGACUAGAGUGCGGUAGGGGAGAUUGGAAUUCCUGGUGUAGCGGUGGAAUGCGCAGAUAUCAGGAGGAACACCGAUGGCGAAGGCAGAUCUCUGGGCCGUAACUGACGCUGAGGAGCGAAAGGGUGGGGAGCAAACAGGCUUAGAUACCCUGGUAGUCCACCCCGUAAACGUUGGGAACUAGUUGUGGGGUCCAUUCCACGGAUUCCGUGACGCAGCUAACGCAUUAA
rnacentral:rRNA from 1 species